GCCCCCUAGAUAUCAAAGCCAAAGAGAUUUUAGUGUUCCAGUCUGACGUGCAUGUGUGUCACAGACGUGAGUGUCUGAUAACCUCGUCUUCAGGAUUGCGCAUGAAGAGCGCAGCUGUGCUGACGGCCAGCAACACCUGGAAUUGGUUGUUAUAUUUAAUCUGAUUAUUUCGUCUCAUUUUCACAUUGUGACGUGCGAUGAAGGCUUACGAUGGUGAUGGCACAUAUGGCUAUGCCCGUGGCUUUCCAGUUGUGAGGUUCCUCGCCCUUUUUUUCAUCGUCGCGUUUAACGGCUAUACAUUCAAGAACGACUGCUGUAAUCACUGUAAUUUCAACACGAGGAGAAUAUUGAAUACAUAGCCGGCGAUUUUGGCGUUGUUUGUGAAACUCUUAAAGGCACGUGUUUUAUUAUCGCGCAGCGGUUUCUAUUUUAGUGCGCACCAAGUUACGACUUUCUACGCAUAAAGUGAUUAUUGGUUGUAAAUCACCUGUUCCUUGUCUGAAGGAUCAACGAUGACGGUGUCGUCUUCAGCCACUUUCCAUUGGUUUUUCUCCAUACCAACGUUACCGUGCAUUAUUUACAGAUCCUCUCUUUCUUGGUAC